rnacentral:piRNA from 1 species
CGACAGUUUGAAACAAUGGUGCUAGA